UCACAGCCAUAUUACCCCACAGCCCAAGACUGUUUACUCACUGAAGCUUAGCAGGGCUGAACCUGGCCAGUACCUAGAUGGGGGACCACAUGGGAAAACUAGGUUUGCAGUUGGAA
rnacentral:rRNA from 1 species